rnacentral:rRNA from 2 species
AGUCGAACGCAAUCUUUUAACAAUGAGUGCUUGCACUCAGCGUUUUAAGUGCGAGUGGCGAACGGGUGAGUAACACGUGGGCAAUCUGCCCAAAAGUGGGGGAUAACACUUGGAAACAGGUGCUAAUACCGCAUCAACCGGCUGACCGCAUGGUCGGCCGGGCAAAGACGGCGUCAGCUGUCGCUUUUGGAUGAGCCCGCGGCGUAUUAACUAGUUGGUAAGGUAACGGCUUACCAAGGUGAUGAUACGUAGCCGAACUGAGAGGUUGAUCGGCCACAUUGGGACUGAGACACGGCCCAAACUCCUACGGGAGGCAGCAGUAGGGAAUCUUCCACAAUGGACGCAAGUCUGAUGGAGCAACGCCGCGUGUAUGAAGAAGGUCUUCGGAUCGUAAAAUACUGUUGUCAGAGAAGAACACGUGAUAGAGUAACUGCUAUGGCGCUGACGGUAUCUGACCAGCAAGUCACGGCUAACUACGUGCCAGCAGCCGCGGUAAUACGUAGGUGGCAAGCGUUGUCCGGAUUUAUUGGGCGUAAAGGGAACGCAGGCGGUCUUUUAAGUCUGAUGUGAAAGCCUUCGGCUUAACCGGAGAAGUGCAUUGGAAACUGGAAGACUUGAGUGCAGAAGAGGAGAGUGGAACUCCAUGUGUAGCGGUGAAAUGCGUAGAUAUAUGGAAGAACACCAGUGGCGAAAGCGGCUCUCUGGUCUGUAACUGACGCUGAGGUUC